UACGUAGGGGGCGAGCGUUGUCCGGAAUCAUUGGACGUAAAGCGCGUGUAGGCGGCCCGUUAAGUCGGAUGUGAAAGCCCGGAGCCCAACUCCGGAACUGCAUCCGAUACUGGCGGGCUUGAGGCUGGUAGAGGAGAGUGGAAUUCCCGGUGUAGCGGUGGAAUGCGUAGAUAUCGGGAGGAACACCAGCGGCGAAGGCGGCUCUCUGGGCCUGUCCUGACGCUGAGACGCGAAAGCAUGGGGAGCGAACAGG
rnacentral:misc_RNA from 1 species